GGCAAGGUGGCCGAGCGGUCUAAGGCGCUAGGUUAAGGUUACGUAAUCAAAUUACUAAAUCUCCUAGUCUGGGAAACUGGGCGUGGGUUCGAAUCCCACCCUUGUCA